UACGGAGGGUGCGAGCGUUGUCCGGAAUCACUGGGCGUAAAGGGCGCGUAGGCGGCUCGUGAAGUCAGUGGUGAAAGCCCAGGCUCAACUCUGGGUCGGCCACUGAUACUCGCGAGCUCGAGUUUGGUAGAGGCAGAUGGAAUUCCGGGUGUAGCGGUGGAAUGCGUAGAUAUGCGGAGGAACACCGAUGGCGAAGGCAACCCCCUGGGCCUGUACCGACGCUCAUGCACGAAAGCGUGGGGAGCAAACAGG
rnacentral:rRNA from 1 species